GGUGAACGCUGGCGGCGUGCCUAAUACAUGCAAGUCGAGCGAACAGAUAAGGAGCUUGCUCCUUUGACGUUAGCGGCGGACGGGUGAGUAACACGUGGGUAACCUACCUAUAAGACUGGAAUAACUCCGGGAAACCGGGGCUAAUGCAGGAUAACAUGUUGAACCGCAUGGUUCUACAGUGAAAGGCGGCUUUGCUGUCACUUAUAGAUGGACCCGCGCCGUAUUAGCUAGUUGGUGAGGUAACGGCUCACCAAGGCAACGAUACGUAGCCGACCUGAGAGGGUGAUCGGCCACACUGGAACUGAGACACGGUCCAGACUCCUACGGGAGGCAGCAGUAGGGAAUCUUCCGCAAUGGGCGAAAGCCUGACGGAGCAACGCCGCGUGAGUGAUGAAGGUCUUCGGAUCGUAAAACUCUGUUAUUAGGGAAGAACAAAUGCGUAAGUAACUGUGCGCGUCUUGACGGUACCUAAUCAGAAAGCCACGGCUAACUACGUG
rnacentral:rRNA from 1 species